GAUGAACGCUGGCGGCGUGCUUAACACAUGCAAGUCGAACGGAACUAUUCUUGAUUGAGGCUUCGGCCAAUUGAAGGUUUAGUUUAGUGGCGGACGGGUGAGUAACGCGUGAGCAACCUGCCUUUCAGAGGGGGACAACAGCUGGAAACGGCUGCUAGUACCGCAUAUUGUGUAGAGAUCGCAUGGUUUCUACAUGAAAGAUUUAUCGCUGAAAGAUGGGCUCGCGUCUGAUUAGCUAGUUGGUGAGGUAAUGGCUCACCAAGGCAACGAUCAGUAGCCGGACUGAGAGGUUGAACGGCCACAUUGGGACUGAGAUACGGCCCAGACUCCUGCGGGAGGCAGCAGUGGGGAAUAUUGGGCAAUGGGGGAAACCCUGACCCAGCGACGCCGCGUGAGUGAAGACGGCCUUCGGGUUGUAAAGCUCUGUUGAGGGGGACGAUAAUGACGGUACCCCUUAAGAAAGCCACGGCUAACUACGUGCCAGCAGCCGCCGUAAAAC
rnacentral:rRNA from 1 species